rnacentral:sRNA from 1 species
UUUUCGUCCGUAGUUUAUAGGAUGAGCACCUCCGAAGGAGGUUUGAACCGAGCGCAGCGAGACAACGUUGCUUUAGCAACGGCCCGCGGGGCAGCAUCGCAGAUGCAGUAAUCCUCUCUCGCCGACCA